GGCCAGAUGGCAUACUGGGAUCAAAAUGGCCCACUGGGAUCAACCAUGACCCACACUCCUUUCAGCUACUGGCCAGCGAGAGGCUCGUGUGGGGACAGUUGAGGUUGCUUGGGUCAGUGGUUUAGCUAACGCUGAGGUAGGGUGGGGACUGAGAGGGAAGCCAAGGGAAGUGAGAGUCCACUCCUUCCUGCCUGGCCAAAGGGGUGUGCGAAUGGAGAUCACUUUCAACAGGGCAUGCCCUUUGUGUUCUCUGCACUAGGAAUGGGGCUCCCUUGCCCGGUGCCCCUGGUGAGCAGCAGCGCAGGUCUGUGAGAUAGUGCUGAGGGUAAUGGGGCAGCCUAAGUCAAUGUGGAGGGCAGAUUAGAGCAAAGCUAACUGGCAGUGGGAAGGAGAGCCAGUAAGUCCGGACUCCGCCAUAGGUUCUAACCACUGCCCUAUCCGCCCAGGAAUUGGCCGUGGGAGACAAAUCUCCAGCCCCCCAACCUCCACCCCAAUCUAGCGUCCUUCCCCCUCUCGGCGGGCAGAAGACAACGCCCCCUCGGGGACUACCACCCCACCAGGGCGGGAGCACUCCCUCCUCCUCCCACCCCUCGAUCCAUAAAGCCAGGAGAUGCUACCGCGAAGGGAACCCUGGGAGUGUGCCUUGAAUGACCCCCAAACACAUCUGGAUUUUCGGAGUUCAGGCCAGCCCCCGAAACGGACCCCAGGGAAGUCCGCCAGAGGGAGGGAGCGGGGGAAGGGAGAGGCAGCACGGAGUUCAGGGCCUGUCUUUUAGGACUCCCGGCCCCACGACUAGGACCGUCCCAAACUUCCUGUUUCUUCCGGCCGCUCUGACCCCGGGGCUGCGGCUCCGAGAUAGCUCAGGGCCUGGAAGUGCAUGCUGGGACCAACUACAUAAUCCUUGGUAAGAAAAGGAGGUGGCCCUGACAAGUGCAACUCGAGAAAUGCAAUGCUGUAGAGUCCAAAGGUGUCUGACUUGAACGAAAUGAUCCCACUGGGGGACAAUGCAACAUAUACUCCAGGGUCAUGUUUUGUCAUGAUGCAGCAAGGAGAUCUGUUCCUAACUUGGACUUGGUUGUCUAACCCUCAUCUCUUCUCUUUAUUACAAGGUAAGCAUAGUGGAAAACAUAUUGGACUUAGAUUCAAACACACCUGAACCUGUAACUUAUGAGCCAGGUGACCUUGGGGGUGAACUGGAACUUACACCUUGCUUCUCCUGUUCUCAGGAGACUUGGACUGGAACUAUACCACCAGCUGUCUCGGAUCUCCGGCUUGCAGACGGCACAUCAUGGGACUUCUCAGUCUCCAUCACUGCAUGAGCCAAUUCCUUAUAAUAAAUCUCUGUCUCUCUCAUUAUACAUAUCUUGGAGAACCCUCAGGAACCUUGACUAAUACACAAGAUAAAUUCAGUUUUAAUUGUAUGUGAGGCAUUGUGGUGGAGAUAUAUACUAGAUACCCACACGCAAGUGGGCAAAGGUCUGGGAUCAAAAUAUCUAUUUGGGAAUCUUCAGCAUAUGGGUGAUAGUUGAAAUCAUAAAAGUGGUUGAACUCUUCUGGGACUCUCAUAUAUUGUAAUAGGAUGAACGGCAGAAAGAACAGAUACAGAUACAUGUAGGUUGGUUAAUCUGAUGGUUGGAAUGUGGACUUCGUAUUCGAUGUACUUGGUGUGUGUGUCUUUGUUUAUAAUGAAGUCAAUUACUCAGUAAUGUGCAUAUAAUAAAUUCCGUAGUGUGUGUGGUUCAGUCACUCUACUAGUUUUUAAAACUGUUCCGCUAAAGCUCUCAGUUGAAAGAACCCAUGGUGGUGUUGUUAUACAUAAAUAUCUUUACUUGAUAGACCUCAUUGACUACAGUCAGGAUUCUGGUAGAUAAAUUGGGCAGAUGAGAUGACCUCCCAACCCUUCUCUGGUGCUUUCUGAAUAAGGCCUGUGUUUGUCUGGCUGUACCAUACAUUUUAUUUUCUCUUUCAUUCAUUUCUAAGCCUCAGCAACAACCCCCUUCUCCAACACCUUGAUAUAAAUUGCCUUCAAACUCUAAUAGAACUUGAGAAUGUUGAUAACCUCAAACUAUGGUAUCCUGAUGUUUCCAUAGUAACUAAUGCACACCAAGGGGGAAAAGAUGCGAGAAUAAAUGAGAAUAGCAUUUUAACAAAAUAAGUGAGGGGCAAAGAGGCUUUAGACAUGUUAUUACCUCUUGUUUAGGAAUAUGAAAAUAUUCAUCUCCUUAAUAAUGGGGUUAUAAAAGUUGCUACAAUGAGACUUGUCAGUAGCCAUUUAUAUUUCAUUUUUCUCUAUAAUCAUCAUCAUCAAAAGCAUUUAAAUGCUUCUCUGCCCAACAAUACUGUAGAGAGUGAGUUAAAUGGACAUAGUUGCCAUUUUCCUGUGAACCUGCAAUCACAAUAGGACAGGGUAGGCCAAUGUCUGUAUUCCAGUCUCCCCAGCAGAGUUUUGACCUAGUGGAUAUUAGGAGGAAUGGGGAUUCAAAGAAGACAAAUCAGUGUUGUGGCAUUUGUUUGCUUUGAUACAAGACUUUACUAGCAUCUCAGCACUUCCUUGGUUAAAGGGUGGGAGAAUAGGGUGCUGCUGUUUCUUCUUUCCUAUUUCAUAAAAAGGAGGCUUUCUGUAAGCCAGGAAGAGAGCACUCUCAAGUAAUCAAAUUGGCUGGCACCUUGAUCUGGGACUUCCAGUCUCCAGAACUCUGAGAAAAUACAUUUGCGUUGUUUAAGCCAGUGAGUCUGUGGUAUUUUGUUAUGGCAGCCUGAGCAGCCUAUACACCGGUCAGUGUACAUGCACAACCGAUUAAGCUAUUGUUAGAUAGGAAUAGAUUUAGUAAGGGUGAAGAGAAGACUUUUUAUUUUAUGUAUUUGUUUGAGACAGAGUCUCUCUGUCAUCCAGGAUGGAGUGCAGUGGUGUGAUCAUGGCUCACAUCAGCCUUGACCUUCCAGGCUCAAGUGAUCCUCCCACCUCAGUCUCCUGAGUAGCUGGGACCACAGGCAUGUGCCACCAUGCCUGGCAAAUUUUUGUAUUCUUUGUAGAGAUGGGGUUUCACCAUGUUGCCCAGGCUGGUCUUGAACUCCCUCUUGCCUUGACCUCCUAAAGUGUUGGGAUUAUAGGUGUGAGCCACCAUGCCCGGCCUAAUAUUUUUAUUUUAGAAUUAGAGAGAUUAGGCCAGGCACAGUGGCUCACGCCUGUAAUCCCAGUACUUUGAGAGGCCGAGGUGGGUGGAUCACUUGAGGUCAGGAGUUCGAGACCAGCCUGACCAACAUGGUGAAACCCUGUCUCUACUAAAAAUACAAAAAUUAGCCAGGUGUGGUGGUACGUGCCUGUAAUCCCAGCUACUCAGGAGGCUGAGGCAGAAGAAUUGCUUGAACCCGGGAGGUGGAGGUUGCAGUGAGCCGAGAUCACGCUAUUGCAUUCCAGCCUGGAUGACAGAGUGAGACUCUGUCUCAAAAAAAAAAAAAAAAAAUUAGAGAGAUUAAAUUUCCACAGAUAAGUGUAAUAACUGGUGGGGUAUCUAUCUAACCCAGAACAGAAACACAGAAAGUAGAGGGACAGAAAGUAUACUGAACAGCUCCAGGUAAGGUAGAUAGCAUGGCUGGGAUUCCGCUUAACCUGAUACUUUCCCCAUUUAGAAGAGAAAGGUUAAAAAGCACAUUCUUCUUCUUUGUCUUCUUUUUUUUUUCAUACUCAUAUCACCUUUUGAAAAUUAGUCUUCAGUUUAGCUUUUGUGCAAUGAAUUCAGAGGUUAGAAGCAAGAUGUUUUGGGAGGUAGGGUGAGGCUCAUCAGUGAGAAUGAAAGCCAAUUUCCUAGACUUGCCUGGGGAAGGUAUAUUAGAACGGGGGCCAUUUGUUCUCAAUGUUCAACUCCCACUUAUGAGUGAGAACAUGCAGUGUUUGGUUUUCUUUUCCUGUGUUAGUUUGCUGAAGAUGAUGGCUUCCAGCUUCAUUCAUAUCCCAGCCAAGGACAUGAUCUCAUUCCUUUUUAUGGCUGCGUAGUAUUCCAUGGUGUAUAUGUACCACAUUUUCUUUAUCCAGUCUAUAAUUGAUGGGCAUUUGGGUUGGUUCCACAAACCUGCACGUUCUGCACAUGUAUCCCAUUUUUUUUUAGAAGAAAUAAAGAAAAAAGAAAAGAAAAGAAAAAAAAGAAUGGGGACCAUUUAUCUUGGAUGGCCAGAGGUUUGGUAGACAUCCUCAAGUUUAGACAGGCCUUAGAGUUCAGAUGAAAAAGGAGUGUAUCUUCAUAUUAGAGGCUCAGUUUGGACAAGGGAAAUUUCAGUGUGUGUGUGUGUGUGUGUGUGUGUGUUUAAAAUUUGUGAAAUUUGAUCUUACAGUCACUGGGAGAAGGCAGAAAUUUUGAGGAAAAGGAGUCCUCAAUAAAGC
rnacentral:lncRNA from 1 species